rnacentral:rRNA from 1 species
GACGAACGCUGGCGGCGUGCUUAACACAUGCAAGUCGAACGGAAAGGCCCGCUUGCGGGUACUCGAGUGGCGAACGGGUGAGUAACACGUGGGUAACCUGCCCUCAGCUUUGGGAUAACUCUCGGAAACGGGUGCUAAUACCGAAUGUUGACAUUUCCUCGCAUGGGGUUGUGUUGAAAGUUUUUUCGGCUGGGGAUGGGCCCGCGGCCUAUCAGCUUGUUGGUGGGGUGAUGGCCUACCAAGGCGACGACGGGUAGCCGGCCUGAGAGGGCGAUCGGCCACACUGGAACUGAGACACGGUCCAGACUCCUACGGGAGGCAGCAGUGGGGAAUAUUGCGCAAUGGGCGGAAGCCUGACGCAGCGACGCCGCGUGAGGGAUGAAGGUCUUCGGAUUGUAAACCUCUUUCAGUAGGGACGAAUUCAGACGGUACCUGCAGAAGAAGCACCGGCCAACUACGUGCCAGCAGCCGCGGUAAUACGUAGGGUGCGAGCGUUGUCCGGAAUUAUUGGGCGUAAAGAGCUCGUAGGCGGUUCGUCGCGUCGAAUGUGAAAUCCCGGGGCUCAACUCCGGGUCUGCAUUCGAUACGGGCGGACUAGAGUUCGGUAGGGGAGACUGGAAUUCCUGGUGUAGCGGUGAAAUGCGCAGAUAUCAGGAGGAACACCGGUGGCGAAGGCGGGUCUCUGGGCCGAUACUGACGCUGAGGAGCGAAAGCGUGGGGAGCGAACAGGAUUAGAUACCCUGGUAGUCCACGCCGUAAACGGUGGGCGCUAGGUGUGGGGGACUUCCACGUUCUCUGUGCCGCAGCUAACGCAUUAAGCGCCCCGCCUGGGGAGUACGGCCGCAAGGCUAAAACUCAAAGGAAUUGACGGGGGCCCGCACAAGCGGCGGAGCAUGCUGAUUAAUUCGAUGCAACGCGAAGAACCUUACCAAGGCUUGACAUACACCGGAAACUUCCAGAAAUGGUUGCCCCGCAAGGUCGGUGUACAGGUGGUGCAUGGUUGUCGUCAGCUCGUGUCGUGAGAUGUUGGGUUAAGUCCCGCAACGAGCGCAACCCUCGUCUUAUGUUGCCAGCACGUCAUGGUGGGGACUCAUAAGAGACUGCCGGGGUCAACUCGGAGGAAGGUGGGGAUGAGGUCAAAUCAUCAUGCCCCUUAUGUCUUGGGCUUCAAGCAUGCUACAAUGGCCGGUACAAAGGGCUGCGAUACCGCGAGGUGGAGCGAAUCCCAAAAAGCCGGUCUCAGUUCGGAUUGGGGUCUGCAACUCGACCCCAUGAAGUCGGAGUCGCUAGUAAUCGCAGAUCAGCAACGCUGCGGUGAAUACGUUCCCGGGCCU